rnacentral:rRNA from 1 species
UACGAAGGGGGCUAGCGUUGCUCGGAAUCACUGGGCGUAAAGCGCACGUAGGCGGAUCCCUAAGUCGGGGGUGAAAUCCUGGAGCUCAACUCCAGAACUGCCUUCGAUACUGAGGAUCUCGAGUCCGGGAGAGGUGAGUGGAACUGCGAGUGUAGAGGUGAAAUUCGUAGAUAUUCGCAAGAACACCAGUGGCGAAGGCGGCUCACUGGCCCGGUACUGACGCUGAGGUGCGAAAGCGUGGGAGCAAACAGG